UACGUAGGGGGCGAGCGUUGUCCGAAGUUACUGGGCGUAAAGCGUGCGCAGGCGGUUUUGUAAGACAGGUGUGAAAUCCCCGGGCUUAACCUGGGAACUGCAUUUGUGACUGCAAGGCUGGAGUGCGGCAGAGGGGGAUGGAAUUCCGGGUGUAGCGGUGGAAUGCGUAGAGAUCCGGAAGAACACCGGUGGCGAAGGCGGUCUGCUGGGCAGUUGCUGACACUGAGGCGCGACAGCGUGGGGAGCAAACAGG
rnacentral:rRNA from 1 species